AGUUCUCGUUGAUGAUCGGUGCUUGCACUGAGAUUCAACAUGGAACGAGUGGCGGACGGGUGAGUAACACGUGGGUAACCUGCCCUUAAGUGGGGGAUAACAUUUGGAAACAGAUGCUAAUACCGCAUAGAUCCAAGAACCGCAUGGUUCUUGGCUGAAAGAUGGCGUAAGCUAUCGCUUUUGGAUGGACCCGCGGCGUAUUAGCUAGUUGGUGAGGUAAUGGCUCACCAAGGCGAUGAUACGUAGCCGAACUGAGAGGUUGAUCGGCCACAUUGGGACUGAGACACGGCCCAAACUCCUACGGGAGGCAGCAGUAGGGAAUCUUCCACAAUGGACGCAAGUCUGAUGGAGCAACGCCGCGUGAGUGAAGAAGGCUUUCGGGUCGUAAAACUCUGUUGUUGGAGAAGAAUGGUCGGCAGAGUAACUGUUGUCGGCGUGACGGUAUCCAACCAGAAAGCCACGGCUAACUACGUGCCAGCAGCCGCGGUAAUACGUAGGUGGCAAGCGUUAUCCGGAUUUAUUGGGCGUAAAGCGAGCGCAGGCGGUUUUUUAAGUCUGAUGUGAAAGCCCUCGGCUUAACCGAGGAAGCGCAUCGGAAACUGGGAAACUUGAGUGCAGAAGAGGACAGUGGAACUCCAUGUGUAGCGGCGAAAUGCGUAGAUAUAUGGAAGAACACCAGUGGCGAAGGCGGCUGUCUGGUCUGUAACUGACGCUGAGGCUCGAAAGCAUGGGUAGCGAACAGGAUUAGAUACCCUGGUAGUCCAUGCCG
rnacentral:rRNA from 1 species